UUUCCUUAUCCCCUCACUCGUCUUCUUCCCAUGUGGCUCUCUCAAAUAAAUUCUCGCCGGUGAUGACCGCCGUCGAUGUCGGGAGCAGCCGUCGUCCACCAGCCCCCGCUGCUCCGGUGAGUGGCCGCCAUCCACCCCGCCCCGCGCUGCUCCGGCGGGCAUCCACCCACCCACCACCACAGCCGUGCGGCAACCCAGCUUGCGGCGCGGAGUGGGGUGCUUCAACCGGCGGCGAUCAUGCUACAACGGCGGCGAGCGGGAGUGGCAGCCGGUGGCGACCGAGGAUGACCGCAGGCUGCCAUCGGGUGCUGCACCGACAAGCAAUUUUGCUGGAAGCACGGCAACAAGUGUGAGAGAUCCGGCCAUGGAGUUGAUUUGCUGGGAUGGUGGACGGCGAUGGUGGCGGAGCUGCAACGGCGGUUGGUGGUGGGGAUGCGAUCGUGUGCCCCCGUGCUGCAACCACGGGGCGGUUGGGAGUUCCAACGACGACCUCGGGCAUGACGGCGGUGAUCUCGCGCGCGACGACGACGACUUGUUUGCGGCGCGCUGGCACGAGACACCGACGGCAAGCGCAGGUCACGGGACGGCCGACGAGCGUAUUGCUGUGCGGCCGUGCGGGAGGCUGGGAGUGCGGAUGAAGACGACCAGAUGCGCUCGGUCGCGUUGGGCUCUAUCCUCUUUUUUUGGGAGAGAUAAACGCAAGAUCGUACGGUCUGAAAGGGAUGUAUCGUGUGGUAGGGCAGCGACCGGCCCAAAUUUAGGCCGGUGCGCCGGCGCCUAUCAUUCCCCUUAGUUUAUAGAGCCAACUCUUAGUUUCAAAAGAAGAUUGAACUUUUCUUUCUUGUACAAGUUUUAGUUUCAAAAAAAAAAACGAACAACCUUUUCUUUCUUGAAAAAAGUCUCUGCGGUGGUAUUCUAAAACAGAAAGUCUCUGUGGUGAUCGUUUGAUUUUUUUUUCAGUGAUCGUUUGAUUCGGAAGGUAAUCUUUGAAGAUGUGCAUGUACUAUAUGGUAGUCUUCGGGUGGCACGUUACCAUGAUGUCCGGAUGUGAAGACUACCAUAUAGAUCAUGCACGUCUUCAGAAGUUGCUACGGGAGCUCUCCUCCUCAACUGGCCUCCAGCUCUUGUUGUUUUUUUAGAGAAAACUUUUGAUAUACUAGGAAAAUUGCCCGUGCGUUGCAACGGGAAAUACAUUGUGAGAAGGUAAAGAAAAACAUGAAGAGACAA